rnacentral:lncRNA from 1 species
GGAAAUGGAAGGAGAUAACUUUAAAAGAUUCUAUCCCAGAGAUCAACCCUAUGGAAUCUGAGUCACUAGAAAAUUCAAGAACUCAUUUCUUAUGUUCACAUGUACAAAAUUAAUAUAUUUAAUCAAUACCCACAGUAAUAACAAUAAGGGAAAAAUGAAAAGUGAAACAUCUCCCUAACAUUGAAAUACCCAUAUAAUUUCCCAUAUAAAAUCCAUGCAAUUUUACCCGUGUCAGUACCCAUAUAAUUCUCAACCGUAUGCACAUACAGAGAUAGUUACAGACAUACAAUCUUAGGGCAUAGUUAUUGGCAGUUCAUUCUUGGUGAUUCUUUCACAAUUUCAGGUUAGACCUUUUAGUCAGUUAGUGGAGAUAUGUAUCAGAAGGUAAAAUUUUGAAGGUACCCUAUUAGAAAAUUGAUUUGAUAAAGACUGACUGCAUUUUGAGCAAAACUGAAAGAAAAAAAAUGUGUCAAAUGAUCUUUUAAAGAUUCCAUUACCUUGAUGGGAGUUUGACAGGGGUGCAACAUUACAUGGUAUAACACUUGUAAGUGUGUGUUAAAAUGGCAGUAAGUAAACAGCAGGGUUGAAAGAAGAAUGAGAUUGCCUGCAUAUAGCAUUUCUUAGAAACAUAAUUAUAGCAUUGUUGAAACAUGAAGGCAGCCUCACGUAUUUGUAGUUGCUGUAAUCAUAUAAUUGCUGUUCCAUUUCCUCUGCUCACCCUCCUUUGGUUAAGAUAUUAGGAGUUGCAGCUAGAAUGAUAGUAAAUGCCCAUUUUUUUUUCUUAAUGCUGUUAAAUCAUGUUUUUGGUCUCCUCUGCUCACAUUGCUACAGUAUCAUACAUCAUUGUUUUCAGAAUAGGUGCAAUGAUCAAAGAGAUUUUCAAGUUGUCUAUUAAAAAGAGUAUAAAAUGAAGGAGUAUAAGACUAAUUUUCAUUGAUGUUAAUCUUUCUUUCAGCAUUUCUGGAUACACUUAAAAGUGUUUGCCUGUUUAGUUCCUCUCUGCCUGGACCCCUCAGUUGACUCUUAGAGCACUAGUAUCCCAGAGACUGGCCAGAGAUGCUGCACAAGCAUAAAAAAGUAUUUGGGAAUAAGAAAAAGGAAGUGUAUUUACAAAUUGCUGUCAUGAUUCAGGGCAAAUUCUAAUUCAGGGUAUCUCAAAUUUACCAAGCAAUAGUUAUCCUACCAAAGAAAGCAAAUGCAGUCAUGAUGGGAUAAAAUAUUCUGCUUUUGCUGGAAAGACCAUAUAUAAUAGAUUCAAACAUUAUUUUCAUAUAGUUACCUUUGGCCAUGGGUAAAUAAUAAUAAUAAUAAAAAAAACACGUUUCUAUGAAAAUCAAAUCUUCAAGUUGUUCAUUUAUUUCUUAAGUAGUAAAAUGCUACCAUGGGCUUUAUUAAAGAAAAUAAGGUGGGGAGUUCCCUCUGUGAUAGAGUGGGUUAAGGAUCUGGUAUUUUGUCUGUGUUGGUGCGUGUUUGAUCCCUGGCCUGUCACAGUGAGUUAAAGAUGUGGUAUUGGCAUGAUGGCUGUGGUGCAGGUGGUAGCUGUGGCUAGGAUUCAGUCCCUGGCCUGGGAACUUACAUAUGCCACAGGUGCGGCCAAGCAAGAAAAUAAGAUGAAUUAGUUAUACAUGUACAUAUAUCCAUUCCUUUUUCAGAUUAUUUUCCAAUGUAGCUUAAAAACAGAGUAUUUAGUAGAUUUCCCUGUGCUAUAUAGUAAGUUCCCAUUGACCAUCCAGUCAGCAUAUGUAUAUAUGUAACUAAUUCACUUCGCUGAACACCUGAAACUCGCACAACAUUGUAAGUCAACUAUACUCCAAUAAAAUUUUUAAAAAGAAGGAAAACAAAAUAAGGUGAAAAAUUAUCACAUUAAAUCUGAUGAUAAUAAAAAAUUGAUAUUUGUGUCUAUAUAUUUAGAAAUGCUACAGCUAUUACUCAAGUUUUCAUGUAUAGAAAGAUUGUUUCUGCCUUAACUAGACCAGAGGUCAAAGGUAAUACCAUUGAUCCACUAUCCUAGUACCUUAAAUUCUAUGUAUUCAUCUGAUUAGAUAAAUGGACAACAUUAGAGAUGAAUUAAGAAAAGAUCUUUACUAAGCUGCGUUUUGAUCACAUCCUUGGUGUAUGAUUGUUGUAGGCAUUGAUCAUUUUGAAACUACUUCUGUCUAUAGUAACAUAGAAUCUCCCUAAAAUUUUUUCAUUAUGCCUUAUUUUGUAGUUAAGUGCCAGGAAAAAAAUUGCACUAUGCCUAGGAAUUGAUUUACUUCCUGUUUUCAAAAGAGAGGUAUCUAAUUCAGACAUGAAAAUGCACUGUAAUCUUUGGUCUUAUUUUAACUAUUCAAUAUCUUAUUCAUAUUAUUGUUAAUAAUUUAAAAACUUUCUUGGGGAGUUCCUCUUACCAUUUGAUAGAAUAUGAACCUUUACUGGAGAUGCCCUGCUGUUGUGAAGAUGUCAAAUUGAUGAUUACUUAAUGAAACACAUAUUUUGAGCUGGACAAUAAAAACAUUGAAAAUGGUUGCAGCUCAUUUAACUUAACAAUAAGGGAGAUGUCUUUACGUUGGUGUUCUGAGGUGCCUCGGUUCCUGUCCAUUCCUAGACUUUUGUUGUUGUUGUUCAAAAAGAAGAUACACUCUUUCCAGAUAAUUUAACUUCUCCAUAAUUAUCCAGAUCCAUUAUUUAUAACCAAAGAGUUCUAACAUAUGUAAGUUGUGACCAUAGAGCAAUAGAAAUUGGCAGUUCUGUAUUGCUUUCAGCUAUUAGAAAGCGCAUAAUAACUUAGAGGCUCUAAGGCUGUCAAAUUUCUUAGCCUCAAAAUCAAAAUAUCCUUCCAUAUUUUUGUGUUACUGUUUUCUUUUGCUUAUUUAUAUCUGUUUCCUGUUUCUCUGAUGGCCCUGACAUGAAAAAUAGCAAGUUACCAAGAAGUAGUCAUCAUUACAGGUGAAAGGUCAAUCUCAGAACAGCAGAUGGGAGUUCGUGUCAUGGCUCAGCAUUAACAAACCUGACUAGUGCCCAUGAAGAUGUAGGUUCAAUCCCUGGCCUUGCUCAGUGGAUUGAGGAUCCAGCAUUUCCGUGAGCUGUGGUGUAGGUGGUGUAGGUCGCAGACCUGGCUAGGAUCUGGCGUGGCUGUGGUGUAGGCCGGCAGCUGUGGCUCUAAUUGGACUUCUAGCCUGGGAACCUCCAUAUGCCAUGGGUGUGGCCCUAAAAUAAAAGACAAAAAUAAAUAAAUAAAGCUCAUAGAAUGUAUCAAAUGCUUAUAUCAACAAAAAUAAAAAACAAAGAUUCAACUUCCAAAACUAGAAUGUGAACAAUGUCAACAAAAAAAAGAAUAGUAAUAAAAUAAAAUCAGAAAUAGUUAUAAACAAUCAAAAGAAAAAAGUAAAUAAAUUAAUCUAGAAGCUGUGUUUUUGAAAUAAUUUUUUUUUUAAAAAUUGCAACAACUAGCUAAUUUGGGGGAGAGAAAAAGAGAGACUAUGUAAACUUAAAGGAGGGAUAAAAAUAGACACCAAGAAAUAACCAAUACAAAAUAACCAUCAAACUAGAUGAAUUUUUUCCAUUUUUAAAGUUUUAUUGGAUUAUUGUUGAUUUACAAUGUUGAAAUAAUUUCUACUGUACAACAAAGUGAUUCAGUUACAUAUAUAUACAUAUCCAUUCUCUUCCAGAUUCUUUUCCCACAUGGAUUAUAACAGAAUAUUGAGUAGAGUUUGAUGUGCUCUUCAGCAGGUCCCUAUUGGCAAACCAUUCCAUAUACUACAGUGUGCAUAUGCCAGUCCUAAACCCCAUUUCAUCCCUAUCUCCCCAACAGUCGCUUUGGUUACUAUAAAUUUUUUUUUAUAGAUUAUUACAAGAGACUAUUUUACACAAUCGUAUGAAAACUCUUCUUUAAUAGGUGUUAGAGGUCCAUGCAGUUUUCCAUGAGAAAAUAACUUGAAACAUGAAAAUCUGAAAGGGAGGAGUUCCUGUCAUGGCACAGCGGAAAUGAAUCCGACUAGGAACCAUGAGGUUUUGGGUUUGAUCCCUGGCCUCACUCAGUGGGUUACGGAUAUGGCAUUGCCCUGAGCUGUAGUGUAGGUUGCAGACGUGACUUGGAUCCUGUGUUGCUGUGGCUGUGGUGUAUGCUGGCAGCUGUAGCUCCAAUUUGACCCUAGGCUGGAAACCUCCAUAUGCCACAGGUGGGGUCCUAAAAAGCAAAAAAAAAAAAUCUGUAAGGAAGAUGUAGAAUAGUAAUGACACAAAAAAGAAUCAUUAUAUAAAUGAUUGCAUACUUUAAGAUACUUUAAUAAGUUAGAAGUGUAUAAAAUUAAUAUUAAAAUAUAUAAUUUUGGAGUUCUCUUGUGGCACAGCAGGUUAAGGAGCUGAUGUCAUUGCGAUGGCUUGGUUCAUUGCUUUGUCAUGUUUAUUCCCUGGCCUGGGAACUUCCACAUGCUAUGAGUUGCAGGGGAAGAAUUUUUUUUGUAUAUAUAAUUUCAUAUAUAUAAUCUAGUUAGACAUUUUAAUCAAGUAAUUUUUCAAUAAUUAUAAUUAAAAAUAUGAAACAUCUUAAGUGGAAUUUUAACUAGAACUAUGUAAAGCCAAUAUGGAGAAAAUUAAAAACUGGCUUAAGUCCAUUGACAAGAAUUCAUAAUCUUCCAUAGCUUUCUUGGUUUCUGAUAGUGUGAGAGAUCCCAGGUUUUUCCUGAACAUAUCUUGUCCCUGCCAAAAGUCAAUGAUUUUUCCAAGGAGUCUUUACAUUUUUCAGUGGGAUCUGAUCUUCAGAGGCUACUUUCUGAGUGCUACGUUAUCAUUGUUACUAGAUUGAUCAUUGUUUUGGGUCUGUGUAGAGUGGACCAAGUUAGGAAAGAAACAAAACAUACUGAGGGUGAAUACUGAUAGUCCCAAUUCAGGGGAUAAUUUUUAUUAAGUAUCUUCAUCAAAUUUUUUUCUAAUUCAAUGAAUUUAGGAGUUCCUGUCAUGGCUCAUGGUAAUGAACCUGACUAGUAUCCAUGAGGAUGCAGGUUCGAUCCUUGGCCUCAGUGGGUUAAGGAUCCAGUGUUGCUGUGAGCUGGGGUGUAGGUCACAGAUGCAGCUCAGAUCUGGCAUUGCAGUGGCUAUGGUAUAGACCAGCAGCUACAGCUCUGAUUAGACCCCUACCCUGGGAACUUUCAUAGGCCAUGGGUGCAGCCCUAAAAA